rnacentral:RNase_P_RNA from 7 species
CAGGUGGAUCGUGCAAUCGCCCCGAGUUACAUCGGGGAGGAAAGUCCGAGCACCAAAGAGUGGGAUGGUUCCUAACGGGAACCGGGCGUAAUCCCGAUUUAUAUAAGGAAAAGCCUAGGGAAAGUGCCACAGAGACUAUACCGGUCGCCUAAGGCGACUAAGGGUGAAAAGUGAGGGAGUAAGACCCCUCUAUCUGAUAAGGUGACUUAUCAGAAUGGUAAACCCCAUCCGGUGCAAGACCAGUGGACCUUGUAAGAAUCCUAAAGAAAUCAAAAUCAUUCUAAAGAUGAAAUUGGUGCUCUAAGGAAAAUUGUUUACUCGGCAUUUUUUACAGGGUCUGGUUGCUAGAAUUCUUCAGCAAUGAAGAAUCAAGAUAGAUGAUUGCAUCCCGAUUAAUAUCGGGAACAGAACUCGGCUUAUAGAUCUGCCUGCUAG